CUGCCUGCCCAGUGACACUAAGUUUAACGGCCGCGGUAUUAUGACCGUGCAAAGGUAGCGUAAUCACUUGUCUUUUAAAUAAAGACCAGUAUGAAUGGCAAGACGAAAGUUCAACUGUCUCCCUAAAUUAAUCAAUGAAAUUGAUUUUUCCGUGCAGAAGCGGAAAUAUAAUUAUAAGACGAGAAGACCCUAUGGAGCUUUAAACAUAUGAUCAAUUGCAUAACAUAAAAUCCAAAAGAUAAAAUAUUUAAUAAAACAAUAUGAUCAAAAUUUUAGGUUGGGGCGACCACGGAGAAAAACAAAACCUCCGAGAUGAAAAGAAUAUCUUAAUUCAAGAACUACAAUUCUAAAAAAUAAAAUAUUUAACAUAAUUGAUCCAAUACUUUGAUCAACGAACCAAGUUACCCUAGGGAUAACAGCGCAAUCCUCUCCAAGAGUCCCUAUCGACGAGCGGGUUUACGACCUCGAUGUUGGAUCAGGACAUCCCAAUGGUGCAGCCGCUAUUAAAGGUUCGUUUGUUCAACGAUUAAA
rnacentral:rRNA from 1 species